AUGGGAACAUAUGGUUAUAUGCCACCUGAAUAUGCUGUUCAUGGAUCUUUUUCAAUCAAAUCAGAUGUAUUUAGCUUUGGUGUAAUUGUUCUGGAGAUAAUUAGUGGGAGAAAGAAUAGAAACUUUUAUGACCAUCAUCAUAAUCUUAAUCUUCUUGGUCAUGCAUGGAGACUAUGGAAUGAAGAUAAGGCACAAGAGUCUGGAUCAUCGUAG